GUGCUAUAAAAGAAUGAGUUAGCUGGUUGAGAAGAGAGCAGCAAUGUGUUGGUUGUGCUGUGAAGUAGGAGCUUCCCUGUGCUGUGAGGAGCUGUCCAUGAGCAGUCACUGAGAAGGUUAUUCUGCUGCUGAGAGAGCAGCAGCAUGUUGGCUGAACACAUUCCAAGUCCUUUCUCCUCCUCUUUAGAGCACACUUGCCAUUCCUCCUAUUGCUUCUAAAAAGAACAAUUUGCAGGCAUUUAGACCCAUUCAAAGGAUCAAGCCAGUAGCUUCAGAGAAGUAUAAGUUGGAGCUAAAGUGAAAAGGUUUGAGUCUUGUGGAAGUCAUAGGAACACUUUCAUUGGGUCUGAUCUCCAAGAAACUGAAGGUCCUUAACAGGAUGACAAGUAUCAUCAAAAAGCUAUUACUGAUAUAAACAUAAAAAAGAAGCCCUAUUUUUUAUUUCAUCACUUUAAUAGAAAAAGGGAAACAUACAAACUGAUUUGCUCAUCCAGAUGGAAUUCAAGACAAAGCUACCAUGUAGAGUUCAGUUUGAUACAGGACCUUAGUGAAAUUGUUUUGGAAGCUGCUCCUUGCCUCCUGAAAUGAAAUGCUGCUUGCUCAGAUCAUUACUACAUCAGUCUGCAUGGUCGUAGCAAAACAGUGGAUGGGAAGUUUAGGUAUGAGCUUGGACUUGAUACUCUUAGAUCCAUCUAUUAAGGAUUCAGAAGACUGAUUUCUUUCUCAUUGGAAACCAUAAUUUUCUUUAUCAUGGAGGAAACUUCUUCUGAAGAAGACAAGUUACUCAAAUGCUUCUUUACGAUUCCCAUGAUCUGGGCAAGAAGAAAGAUCCAGGGAACUUCAGGCUGGUCAGCUCCACCUCAAGCCCUAGGAAGGUGGAAUGCUGACAGCCUUUUGAGGAAGGUGAUUUUUGCACUCUGCUCAGCACUGGUAUUUAUGCAUAUUGAGCCUUCUCUUCUCUCGGCUGAACAAUCCCAGCUCUAUCAGCCUCUCAUAUGUCAGAUGCUUCAAUCCCUUGGCCAUCUCCAUCACACUUUGCUGGACAUAGUCCAGGAUGUUUGUGUCACUUCUGAACUGGAAAACCAAGAACUGAGCACAAUAUUCCACAUGUAUGUCACCAGAGCUGAGUAGGGGGGAAGAAUCACUUCUCCUGGACUGCUGACAACCCUCUGCCUAAUGCAGCGCAGGAUCCCAGGAUGCUGAUGGCUUUCAUGGCUGCAACAGCAUAUUGUGGACUCAUCAUCACCUUGUUAUCUGACAGGGCUCAUAGCUUUUUAGUUUUUUGGGUUUGUUUUGUUGGUUUGGUUUUUUUUGCAAUGCUGCUUUCCAACAUGUGCAUAAGGUGAAAAUGGUUGUGUAAAUUUUCAGUCGUUACUCAGACUGCCAACAUUGCCAUGUGCACCUGAAGAUGGAGACAGUCAGUACUGAGCACAAGUCAUAGUUACAUCUGCACUAAUACACACAAAAACUAGUCACCUUUUUUCUUCUGAUUGUGAAAUUCAUAUGGCUAAACCCUUUUAACCUCCAAAAUAGGGUGUUUCAUUAUUUAUUGAGAAAAGGGUCUUUCCUGUAUUAAAUAACAGACAAGGGAUCCUUCCAUUUUAAAAAACAUAGAUUACUUCAUUAGUACUGUGUCUUAUGUAUAUAUAUAUACACACACACACACCUAUAAAACAUAGUUUAAAGCCUUUAAUGAGAAUAUCUUGCCUGGUAAAUGCUGAGUCACACUAGUAAAGCAUCACUGAAUCAGUCAUCUGAUAUGUUUUCCUGAUAGAGUUCUAUGCAAAGAAAACAUAUUAGCUCUGGACUUAGAAACAGCAUGGCUAUGUCAUCAAACGAUGCACAUAGGCAAAUUGAGUCUGCUGGCAGGGACUAUAAGAUGCAAGCAGACAAUAGUCAGUCUUCUAUGAGGCUGUUACCAGCUCUCUGUGCCUGCACAUGUACAAACAUUUCCACCUACUGAAGAAAAAUUCAGCUCUGGAAUAUGUUAGGCUGAAAAAUUAAUGGAAUCCAGAAUGUGUUUGUGUGCUUAGGAUAUAUGCAUUAGUAACAUGUACAGAUUGAAAUCAACAUUAUAUCAGACAAUAACAUUGCAGAGACUUUAUUCAAUAUUAUUUGUGCUAUAUAAAAUAGAAAAGAAAAAGAGGAAGGCAAGAAGGAAGGAAGAACACCUGCUGUUCUGGAGAGAGAUCCUCAUUGCAGAGCUCAUGAUACAGUAAAUAACAGUAAUUUCUCAGCAGAAAUAACAGAUGUCUAAAGUCUAGAUUGUAAAAUAAAUACAUACAUUCAAUCAUGCACUAAUUUAGUAGAAAGGUUGCUCAGGUUGUCUAUUCCAUCCUUUGCUCAAAGAAAGUGCAAUUAGAACCAUAUUCUCAGCCUUAGACAAAUUUUGGUCACCUUCAAAGAUUGUAACUCAAAGCGAACUUGACAGACAGAACAUUACUGCAGAAGUGAGUCAAAGUCCCAUCUAAUCAAGGAUUGUUUACAUCAAUAAAAUAAGAAUCACAUCCUUUCCAGGUAAUAGGAAACAGCUGCAAUAACUCAAAGAUAUCAAGUUUGUAAGGAUUCUUAAUGAGGAGUCAAAAUUUAAAAAAAGAUCAAAAAAAAGACCAAAAACACAGUAAAGAAAAAUAAUAAAUAAAAUCCUAAUGGCUGGAGAUGACAGAUAAUAUUAAAGCUGAAAUGUAUUGUGUUGCUGAAUUCUGGGCUAUUGAGGAACACAUUCAUUCAUAGAUAGGCUUGACAAUACUCAGCCUUAAGUUUGUAGGUGGUAAGACAAGUGAAACAAGAUGUUCAUGAGUCUCAUUGGAAAGUAUCCUCAUAUUAUGGGAUAUUUGAGAGGGCAUGUGGAGUUGUGCAAAACAUAUUGUAGGAUUUUUAGUGGAAGGGCCAAAGAUAAGGAAAGGGAAGUACAGGCCUGAAUGACUGGAGAGAAUGGCUACAGAAGAGUUCAUCUGGGUGCAAGCCAGCAGCUGGUCAGAUUGUCCUGCACAUUACUUUAUAGUCUGCCCACUCUUAUUUAAUUCUGUUCCAAACUGUUAGCUGUCCAAUGCUAAUGCCUAAUCUGUAUGAAUGUGCAUCAGAGAUUCGUUGAAAAACUUCAGCCUGCAGCAGCUGAGAGUAGGUUAAACCAGCACCUGAAAAGAUCAAUUUUCAAAUACUCAAAAGAUACUUAAAUUGUGAAUCUGAUACAAAAUAGUGAAUGAGGUGAACAGAAAUAACUCUUUUGGGGAGAGAGGAGGGGAGGAGGAGGCAGGGGGGAGAGAGACAGAGAGAGGGAAGAGCACAAACUUUGGUUUAGGUGUCUUAGACAUGAAACACCAAUUCAUCCAUCUGAGUGUGGUCUUCCUUUUUCCACCAUAACAUUCUGCUACUGCAGCGCAGAAUCUGAAACACAAUAGUUCUCAGUCUUUUCCUACUUCUGCUUCCUAACCAGGUCUUCCCAUUUCACACUGCCUAACUAAAAUAUAUACUUGUCAGUGAUUAAUUUUAGCAUGUUUUUUCCCAGGCCAUAGCUCCUGUUUGUCAAGAUAAUUUUAAUUUUAUCCCUGGUUUGCUCUUAAAUUUCAAUAACUAUACUCACUCUUCCAUUAUAUUGCUCAUUAAUAUCAAUAUUCAAUUAUAUUCAACUCUGAACAGAUGUCAUCAAAACCUCUUUGAUGUCUCCAAUGCUAAAAAUAAAUACUGUUUGGGGUUUAACAAAGUUGGAGACUGGUAGAUCUAGCUAUCUCAACACUGUUAUAGCAGAAGGAAAAAGCAAACUUAUUGACAAUAUACCACAAUAUAUUUUUUUUAUAUAUAUUAGC